rnacentral:rRNA from 1 species
CCUACGGGUGGCAGCAGUGGGGAAUAUUGGACAAUGGGGGGAACCCUGAUCCAGCCAUGCCGCGUGUGUGAAGAAGGCCCUCGGGUUGUAAAGCACUUUCAGUGGGGAAGAACGCCUGGUGGUUAAUACCCAUCAGGAAAGACAUCACUCACAGAAGAAGCACCGGCUAACUCCGUGCCAGCUGCCGCGGUAAUACGGAGGGUGCGAGCGUUAAUCGGAAUUACUGGGCGUAAAGCGCGCGUAGGUGGCUUGAUAAGCCGGUUGUGAAAGCCCCGGGCUCAACCUGGGAACGGCAUCCGGAACUGUCAAGCUAGAGUGCAGGAGAGGAAGGUAGAAUUCCCAGUGUAGAGGUGAAAUGCGUAGAGAUCGGGAGGAAUACCAGUGGCGAAGGCGGCCUUCUGGACUGACACUGACACUGAGGUGCGAAAGCGUGGGUAGCAAACAGGAUUAGAUACCCGAGUAGUC